CGUACACUCCUGCGGGAGGCAGCAGUGGGGAAUAUUGGACAAUGGGCGAAAGCCUGAUCCAGCAAUGCCGCGUGAGUGAUGAAGGCCUUAGGGUUGUAAAGCUCUUUUACCCGGGAUGAUAAUGACAGUACCGGGAGAAUAAGCCCCGGCUAACUCCGUGCCAGCAGCCGCGGUAAUACGGAGGGGGCUAGCGUUGUUCGGAAUUACUGGGCGUAAAGCGCGCGUAGGCGGCUUUGUAAGUUAGAGGUGAAAGCCCGGAGCUCAACUUCGGAAUUGCCUUUAAGACUGCAUCGCUAGAAUCGUGGAGAGGUGAGUGGAAUUCCGAGUGUAGAGGUGAAAUUCGUAGAUAUUCGGAAGAACACCAGUGGCGAAGGCGACUCACUGGACACGUAUUGACGCUGAGGUGCGAAAGCGUGGGGAGCAAACAGGAUUAGAUACCCCUGUAGUCCCAUG
rnacentral:rRNA from 1 species